rnacentral:rRNA from 1 species
GACGAACGCUGGCGGCGUGCUUAACACAUGCAAGUCGAACGGAAAGGCCCUGCUUUUGUGGGGUGCUCGAGUGGCGAACGGGUGAGUAACACGUGAGUAACCUGCCCUUGACUUUGGGAUAACUUCAGGAAACUGGGGCUAAUACCGGAUAGGAGCUCCUGCUGCAUGGUGGGGGUUGGAAAGUUUCGGCGGUUGGGGAUGGACUCGCGGCUUAUCAGCUUGUUGGUGUGGUAGUGGCUUACCAAGGCUUUGACGGGUAGCCCGCCUUGGAGGGUUAACGGGCACAUUGGGACUGCGAUAAGGCCCAGAAUCCUACGGGAGGCAGCAGUGGGGAAUAUUGCACAAUGGGGGGAAGCCUGAUGCAGCAACGCCGCGUGCGGGAUGACGGCCUUCGGGUUGUAAACCGCUUUCGCCUGUGACGAAGCGUGAGUGACGGUAAUGGGUAAAGAAGCACCGGCUAACUACGUG